AACCGGUUUUGAGCCCGUAUUUUUUCCUCUCGAUCCAGUUGCUUCCUCGAUCUAGGAAAUCCUAGGGCGUGGUCUUGGGAUGCCGCCGCCGCCAUCGCUGGGGUUCCCAGCCGCCGCCGCCGCCUUCGCUAGGGUUCCCAGCCGCCGCCGCCCAACCUCCGAGACCGCCGCAGCCGGCGCCAUCGCAACCCCAGGACGACAUGCAACGACCGGUGUUGGCGCGUCCUCGUGGGUGGCGGUGAGGAGGACGGCCAGUGGCAGUCCCCCCGAAGCACCACCAUGACGGCACCUCGCCGCGGCCGCUCGGCAUGGGUUGCCGCCCCGCGUCCUAGAGAUGGGAAUCUUGUAGCUGGAGUCUGGAGAUGUAUACAUGGUUGACUCAAUCCUAAUUGUUGGAAACAAUAUCACAGAUCAAAGCUUUAUCGAGUCUCAUAAAAUGUGUGAGAAGUGUGAGAAUAGAGUUCUCAGGAAGGAGGCAUCAUGGGCAUUGUGAAACGUAGCAGCAGGCAAGUUUGGGCACAAGAAAUAUUGCAGGUUAUGAGGGUGUACCCCAAACAGGGCCCAAAGCAUGUGGAGAGGAAGGAUGCCCACGGGCAUUUGUUGGCGCGAGCUGAUGCGAUCCCGCUGUGGCAAUUGGGAUGGGUAGAUGGGGAGGCAUAGUGGAGGCCGGUGGCAGCAUCUGGAAGAAAACAAUGAGCGAGGCGGCGGCAGUGUACAGUGGCAUGGCCGUUGUGUUGCAGCCGUCGCAUAGACGUCGAAGGAGCACCAGCGACACGCGCGCGCACAGACACACACACACUAAUGGUGCUGCUGGAGGCCAUGGGGCUGAGCAAGGAUGUGAGUGGUACACGGCACUGGUAGCAUUAUACUAUCAAGAACACCGGCAUGGCAUUGAUUCUUGCUAUCUAUAAUGCACGCGACACGCCAUGGUCGUCUUCCACCACCUACGCCUCCAACCCUCCAAAGCGUGUCACCUCAAUGGUCGCCGUCGCCUCAUGCUCCAGCUCUCCCAGCCACCGCCACAGGUCACCGCCUCUGUCCCUCCAAAGAACAGGGCCUCUCUUGUUGCAACCUCCUUACCACGACGACCAACGACGAGGAGGAGGAGGAGCUGGGCGAGGCAGGGAGGCAAGGGCGAAGUGUUGUCACCACAUCCACUUCCUAGGGCCGCAGGCGGCAAUGGUGAGGAGGUGAGCGACAACGGGAGACUAAGGUGAAACUGAUGAGAAGUAGUGUCGCUUCCUCAAUUAUGUGUAUGGAGAAGGGAAAAGUGUGGGUAGCUUUGAGAUUCGAUUCAAUCAUGAACAAUGAUUUGCAAGCAAACCCUCUUGUACCCAAAAUCACAAUGGUUGGCAUCUCAAUGAGCGAAGGGGGACAUGUGAGCAAAGCGAACCUAAUGAAAAUAAAGUUUUUUUUCAGAAACAUAAAACAGUGACAUACAAUAUAAUACAUCAUCGGAAGAGGAGGAGGCAUAUGAAGCUGGGAGAGGUGACGGGGAGCACGAGAAACUGCUCCCAGUGCAAGAGAGAGAGCCAUGCCAAUAGUCAGUUGUGGGCUUGUGGCGCUGGUCGCGACCGCUGCAUCACCAACCAUGAUCGUCCAGGCUGUGGCAUGGGGGUCGUGCUUGCUGCUUGUGCGGCGAUCCCCCCAUCGUGAUGAUAAGGCGACUCCCCAACCCCGAUGAUAAGGCUUCAUCCAUUUAAUUUUGACUCUGUGGACAACUAGCUUUUGGGUCAAUGCCAGUGAUGCGAUGCUUACAUGUUCUAUGAUGUUUUUCCAACACACCGUCCAUGGUUGCUUGACAGGAAACAGAGAAGUGUCCGGAUGGGCAAUCAACUCAUCUGUUGAUUAGAUUGGGGGUGGCAUGAACAAAGUAAAGGUGAAGAAAGCAAGCUUGGACGCUAGGUGGCGGCACCAACAUGGGAAGUGUCUGGCAUGAACCAAACAUCUAUGGCUUGUUGCUUUGAAUCUUGCCGGUCUAGGCAAGGUUAGCUCUUGUCACGGUCCAUCUGUGUAUGUGUCUAAGAAAUUCUUGCGUACAUGUCUUUUAGUACUAUUUUUCCCACGGUCCAUCUGUGUAUGUCAUUUCCAUGAGGCGGUGAUUUUGAUAAUUUUUCUUAAACUCUUUACUUAUUAGUUGCGGAUAUCUUCUCUAGAAAUAACAAAAGUAUAAUAUAGGCAAGAAUGAGUAUCAGAACUAACGCCAUGGUGCUCAUGUAAGUCUAGCCAUGGAUUAAAAAGUUU